UAAUUUUUAAAUGGUAUUAGAUGGCCUAGAUACAUAUGCAAAAAAUAAGAAUAAAAAUGGUAGGAUAGCAAAUAUGUAUUUAAAAGGAUAUAUAUGUAAAUAUUAAUUUGGAAAGGAUGUUAAUGUAAAAUUUAAUAUUUAAGAGGAUAUUUAUGUAAACAAAUCUUAAUUAAAAGAGCAAUUCGUGGCAGAUGUGAAUACAUUAGCCAAAAUUAUCACACGUGGAUAAGCGGUUCCAACCGCUUGGCCCGGCCUGGAGUACCCUUUCCCGCGAGAUCUCCGGAUCCUCCAUCACCCCUUCCAACGGUCGCGAUUUCUCCUCUGACUCCGACCCCAUCUCCCUCUCGUCCCCUCUCGCUUAUCUGCGCAUACAAAUCUCCACGCGACAUCGUAAAUCCUCUCCCCACGUCUACGCAUGCUAUUUUUCUGGGAAAUAUAGGACGGCGAUCUUAUUCUCGCAUAUAAACUUUAUGCGAAGAACACGUACUAAUUGUCUCCAUCCUCUCCUUUCGUUCAGAAUGUACGUGCGUUUAAGGGCGGAGCUCACUCCGUUGAGAUCUCGGUUUUUGAGAGCGCGAGCGAAGCUCCGGCGAGCGAGAGCGAAAGACGGGAAGAGAAAGAGAGAGAGAGAGGAGAAACCCUAACCCUAGUCCUAAAGCUUGGAGGUGUUCUCUUGGAUCCAUGGCGCAUGAGGAGCUUCCGGUCCCGAUUUACUCCUCCUUGGAGCCGGUGUAUGGUGAGGGAUCGCCGCUGGAGGAGGCGCAGCUCCGGUUCCAGACGCUCAAGGCCAAGUUCGUCGAGCUCUUCGGCCAGGAGCCCGAGGUCUACGCACGAUCGCCUGGGAGGGUGAAUCUGAUCGGGGAGCAUAUAGACUACGAGGGGUACUCGGUGCUGCCGAUGGCCAUACGGCAGGACACGAUCGUGGGGAUCAGGAGGCACGAUGCCGGGGAGUCGCCGAAGGUGCUCCGGAUUGGGAAUGUGAAUGGAAAGUAUGCCAUGUGUACUUACCCUGCUGAUCCCGAUCAAGAAGUUGAUUUGAAGAACCACAAGUGGGGACAUUAUUUUAUUUGCGGGUACAAAGGAUUUUAUGAGUUUGCUAAAUCAAAAGGAAUAGAUGUUGGUGUACCUGUUGGCGUUGAUGUAGUUGUUGAUGGGAUUGUUCCCACAGGCUCUGGGUUGUCAAGCUCUGCAGCAUUUGUUUGCUCUGCCACAAUUGCUAUAAUGGCUGUUUUUGACAAGAAUUUCCCAAAGAAAGAAAUUGCUCAACUUACAUGUGAAUGUGAACGGCACAUUGGAACACAAUCCGGGGGCAUGGACCAGGCAAUCUCUGUCAUGGCCAAAACUGGAUUUGCUGAGCUAAUAGAUUUCAAUCCUAUCCAUGCAAGUGAUGUGCAACUACCUGCCAGUGGUACUUUUAUAAUCGCACAUUCACUGGCAGAAUCACAGAAGGCAGUGACAGCCGCAACAAACUAUAAUAAUCGUGUUGUAGAAUGCCGCUUGGCUGCUAUCGUUCUUGCCAUAAAGCUAGGAAUGAAACCAACUGAGGCAAUUUCCAAUGUGAAGACUCUAUCUGAUGUUGAAGGGAUGUGUGUCAAAUUUGCUGGCAGCCAUGGAUCUUCUGAUCCUGGAGUGGCUGUUAAGGAACUCCUAAAAGAUGAGCCUUACACUACUGAAGAUGUUGAAAAAGUCACAGGAGAGAGUCUUACUGCUAUUUUUGCAAAUUCUCCAACUUCAUUAGAUGUUUUAAGAGCUGCCAAGCAUUUUAAGUUGUUUCAGAGAGAGGCCAAAGGAUCUGCUGCUGCAGUACUCCCUUCCCCUUCAUAUGCCAGCGUGCCUCCCAUGUUUACUCCGAGGCCAAGCGUGUCCAUGCAUUUAGGGAUACUGUCUUAUCAAAACUCAGUGAUGAGGACAUGCUUAAAAAACUUGGUGACCUGAUGAAUGUGAGCCACUAUAGUUGCAGUGUACUUUAUGAGUGCAGCUGCCCAGAGUUGGAGGAACUUGUAAAGAUUUGUCGAGAUAAUGGAGCACUUGGAGCAAGACUUACUGGUGCUGGAUGGGGUGGUUGUGCAGUUGCUUUAGUUAAAGAAAGUACUGUCCCUCAGUUCAUUCUUGAUUUGAAGGAAAAGUUCUACCAGUCAAGGAUUGAGAGGGGUACCAUUAACAAGAAUGAUCUUGGCAUGUACGUGUUUGCGUCAAAGCCAUCAAGUGGUGCAGCAAUAUUGAAGUUUUAGAUUCUAUUCUAUGUUUUCCUUUGUGUUAUAAGGAAUUAACAAUGCUUAAUGUCCAAGCUUUCAUUUACCAGAAUAAAUACAGUGAGGCUGGUAAGCUUCUGUAAAUUAUAAUGUCGGAGAAUUUCUCAUAAAAUGGUCCUGGUUUUCACCAGGCUACCAUCAGGCAUCUUGUUUUGCCAAAUAGCAGAAUUAAGUCAAGUUGAAAUCAAGUCACCUAUCAGUUAAUUCAGUA